rnacentral:rRNA from 2 species
ACGCUGAGGCUCGAAAGUAAUGGGGAGCGAACAGGAUUAGAUACCCUGGUAGUCCAUACCGUAAAACGAUGAAUGCUAAGUGUUGGAGGGUUUCCGCCCUUCAGUGCUGCAGCUAACGCAUUAAGCAUUCCGCCUGGGGAGUACGACCGCAAGGUUGAAACUCAAAGGAAUUGACGGGGGCCCGCACAAGCGGUGGAGCAUGUGGUUUAAUUCGAAGCAACGCGAAGAACCUUACCAGGUCUUGACAUCCUUUGACCACUGUAGAGAUACAGCUUUCCCUUCGGGGACAAAGUGACAGGUGGUGCAUGGUUGUCGUCAGCUCGUGUCGUGAGAUGUUGGGUUAAGUCCCGCAACGAGCGCAACCCUUAUGACUAGUUGCCAGCAUUUAGUUGGGCACUCUAGUAAGACUGCCGGUGACAAACCGGAGGAAGGUGGGGAUGACGUCAAAUCAGCAUGCCCCUUAUGACCUGGGCUACACACGUGCUACAAUGGUCGGUACAACGAGUUGCGAACCCGCGAGGGUAAGCUAAUCUCUUAAAGCCGAUCUCAGUUCGGAUUGUAGGCUGCAACUCGCCUACAUGAAGCCGGAAUCGCUAGUAAUCGCGGAUCAGCACGCCGCGGUGAAUACGUUCCCGGGCCUUGUACACACCGCCCGUCACACCAUGAGAGUUUGUAACACCCGAAGUCGGUGGGGUAACCCUUUUAGGGAACUAGCCGCCUAAG